CUUCAGUAGCUGGUAGAGUCUGAAAAACUCAUAAAUUGUGUGUUGUCUAUCAGCUUCAUCUCUAGUUCUAUAGAGAGUGGAGUUAAAUAACAGCACUACAUUU